rnacentral:misc_RNA from 1 species
GGUAGAGCAACAAAACGAGCAAACGAAUUCAACGAAACUUUAUACAGAAUGAUAAUGGCUGAUAAGAACGACGUGUUUAGCAGAAACUACAAAGUUAACACGCACUUGGCAAACCAGAAAACCGCUGUUUUCACCGCCUGCGGAUGGUUCACGAUUGACUACACAACCUCUUGUUCGAUGAUAGCGACAUCGGCCACUUACUUGAUUAUACUCCUACAAAUGGGAGGGACGAGUCUCGGGGAAGAACCGGAAGAAUAAUCUUUAAACACUUGUAAAUUUUAAGAACAUUUCAACGAUGUUUGUGUUUUUGAUUUUGUAAUGUUUAAAACAUCUUUUGACAAUGUAAAAUCCGUUGAAAUCAUAUAACUAAAGAUAAAUUUUAAAGGGCAACAUCGUAAUUAUUAUUUAACAAUUUAUAAUUGUAACAUUACAUUUCUUCGACAAACCUGACUUAUUGUAAAUAACUGCAAUAUUAUGUUUUA